CUUGAAUCAAAAGUCGUGGCAGUCGACCCC
rnacentral:piRNA from 1 species